UUCACGUGCCUUAUUGGAAAGCUCUUUUCAUCAUUGGAUUAUUGUGCGUUAAUAAACGAAUAACAUCAAUCAUCGUUAGUGAAAUGAAAUGGGAGACCUGCGGAUAUGUGUGCACGCUAACAUAUAUAAAUGAUAAGUUAACAUCGGAACCCGGAGCUUUCUGGAAAUCUUCCAUAGCCAAAUACAACGCGACAACAUAUGUACCUUGAGAGUUCAGAGGUUUAACUGUUUACACGCGUUCGCAAAUAUAGGUAUCGAAGCCAACCGAAGCGAAGAAUUGAUAAAUUAGUUAUUCCGUCAGUCGUCUGCUGCUGUUUCUCCAGGUACAUCGUGUGUGAAGAAAAUAACUGAAGGAAAUAUUCACAGCUAAAACUCCUCCUAAUU